rnacentral:rRNA from 1 species
UACGUAGGGCGCAAGCGUUGUCCGGAAUUAUUGGGCGUAAAGAGCUCGUAGGCGGUUUGUCGCGUCUGCUGUGAAAACCUAAGGCUCAACCUUGGGCUUGCAGUGGGUACGGGCAGACUAGAGUGCGGUAGGGGUGACUGGAAUUCCUGGUGUAGCGGUGGAAUGCGCAGAUAUCAGGAGGAACACCGAUGGCGAAGGCAGGUCACUGGGCCGGCAACUGACG